UGCAGGCAGCUGGAGAACCUCAGUGCUGUGGAGGACAGAGGGGGCGAGCUGAUCACAGAAGCAUCCUGCCUGGCUGAAGGCCACAGUCCGGAGGGAGAACGAUGAAGACACUGACUGGACCGUUGUUCCUGUGCUUCUGGCUGCAGCUGAGCUGUGUGAGCAGAGGCGAGCAGGUGGAGCAGCGCCCUUCUCACCUGAGUGUCCGGGAGGGAGACAGCGCUGUCAUCAUCUGCACCUACACAGACAGUGCCACUGCUUACUUCUUCUGGUACAAGCAAGAGCCAGGGGCAGGUCUCCAGUUGCUUACGAGUGUUAUUUCAAAUAUGGACAGAAAAGAAGAACAAGGACUCACUGUCUUACUAAAUAAGAAAGACAAAAUUCUCUAUCUGAACAUCACAGCUGUCCGUCUUGGGGACUUGGCCACAUACUUCUGCGCAGCCAGUGCACAGUGCUCCCCAGGCACCUGCUGCCUGCACAUAAACCUGAGGCUGAGGACAGGGAAAGCAACUUUAAAAAAAUGUUUGAAAUAGAUUCUUCCACUUUGUAUUUUAAGUAUAUAAACAUUCUAAAAUACGCAGAAAGUUAGCUCCAGUUGGACCUGAGCAAUUUUGAAGAAACUUUUAUUGAGCAUGAAUUUCUUUUUUAAAAUGUAAACUUCUAUUAUUUUACGUGUAUGACUCUUUUCCUUGCAUAUGUCUGUCACUUGUGUGCCUAGAGCUGUCUGAGGCCAGAAUAGGGGAUGGGAUCCCUAGGAACUAGAGUUGCAGAUGGUUGUAAGAUGCCACGUGGGCUCUGGGAAUCAGACCUGGAUCUUCUGGAAGAGCAGCUAAUGCUCUUAAACCUUAGCCAUCUUUUAUUCUUUAAAGAUAUUUCUGUUAAAUAUUCCUUUUAUUCUAUUUUGAAGGACAGAUGAUGAAGGCACAGUAAAUGAUAGACUACUGUGUAUUACAUGACAUUGACAGCUUUAUUAAGCUCAGGACAACUAAAUUUGGGGCUAUCUUGACUUUUCUUUUAUUUUUAUUUGUGCUUUUGAGACAGGGUCUCACUCUAUAGCCAUCUCUGCACAGAACUUGCUAUGAGACCAUCUUGGGCUCAAACUUAUAGAGAGCUACCUGCCUCUGCCUCUCAAGUGUUAGAACUAAAGCUAUGCCCACCUUGCCAGGCAACUAUUAUAUACUAUUUAGAAAAAUCUUUACUUUUGAUAAUUGCCAACAUGUAUACAAUGUGUCUUAAUCAUAUCCAUUCCAUUCCCCUAUUUUUGCCUCCCCCCACUCCCUAUGCCUAACACAUCUUCUUCCUUCCUUCAUGUCUUCUUUUAUUUGGUUAUCUUUUCUGUCCAUUUAGUGCUGUGUGCUGGAGCAGUGACUGAUGUUGACUAGAUCUUGUGCAAGUGACCAUAAAUUCAGUGAUGUCACAAGUGCAAUGGCCAGGUCAUGUCCAGAAGACAACACUUCAUAGCACUUCCCCUGUCCUCUGGCUCUUACACUAUCUCUGCUACCCCCUUUUAGAUGUUCCCUGGGCUUGGGCAUCAGUUGAUAUAAAUGCCACAUUUAGGGAUGAGAACUCUCAGCACUUUAACCACCUAAUCAUAUCUGUAUUAAUUCCUGUCUAUUGCAGAAGGUUCUUUGGUCAAGGCUGAAAACGGCACUAAUUUAUAGAUAUAAACAUAAAUAUUUAGAAGGAAGUUUGACAUGCCCAUUUAGUUAAACAAAAGUAGUAAAUUACCCACCCAUUAGAGCUAUGACCAGGUUUAAAAUAAUAGGCGGGAAUUCUCUGCUGUGAAGCAAGUCUCAAAUCUACUUAGAAAGUUGUUGGUUACCCCUAAUAUUCAUGUCACUAUUGCACCACAGACACUUUUUACUGGCAAGUUGAUAUUGUAACAUUCACGGUCCACUCUUGGGCCAUACAUACAUACAUACAGACAUACUACAGAUGACUUUUCUCCCCCAGCAACCUUCAUAGGCAGUAGGAGAGGAGUUAUCAAGUCAGUGACAGCUUGAUUUCUUUCUGCUCUGCAACCAAAGUGCAUUGUGUCUUCAGCAAUGGUAUAUGACUAUGAAGAUAGAGUGGGUGUGAUGUUAUUAUUAUUAAUUUUGUCACCUUUAUACAAACUGCAGUCAUCUAGAAAGAGUAACUACAGUUCAGAUAAUGCCUUCACCAGAUUACCUCACAGGCAAGUUUGUGGGGGCAUUUUCUUGAUUAAUGAUUGAUUUUGAAGGGCUCAAACCACUUUGGCUAGUACCAACCCUGGAAAGGUGGUCCCAGGUUGUAUAAAAAGCAAGUCAAGUGAGCUAGAGCGAGUAAGCCAGUAAGUAAUACUCCCACAUGGCCUCUAACUGAAUUCCUGCCUCCAUGUGCCUGUCUUGAGUUCCUGUCCUGAAACCUCCUUCAGGAUGGACUUGAAGUUGUAAGAUAAAAUAAAC